GGAUACCAAGGUCAUCCGGCUGUGACAUCUCUCACUGGUCACCUGGGUGGAUACAUUUGAUCUGGCUGACUAGGUGGGUGUCCUCUUUCCCGCCAUCCCAUAUGUCUGUCCUAAAGCUGUGUGCUCCAUUGAGAGGAUGCCCUUCCCUGCAUAGAGGAGGACUGGUCUCCAGUUGGGGGCAAUGCUUCCUGGCUAGAAUCUCCAAACAAACCCAGUGCUUAUGAAUUCUAAGUUUGAUGAACUCCAAGACUAUUCUCCA
rnacentral:snRNA from 1 species